UUUGAACGCUGGCGGCAUGCCUAACACAUGCAAGUCGAACGGCAGCGCGGGUAGCUUGCUACCUGGCGGCGAGUGGCGGACGGGUGAGUAAUGCAUAGGAAUCUGCCCAGUAGCGGGGGAUAGCCCGGGGAAACCCGGAUUAAUACCGCAUACGCCCUACGGGGGAAAGCAGGGGAUCUUCGGACCUUGCACUAUUGGAUGAGCCUAUGUCUGAUUAGCUUGUUGGUGGGGUAACGGCCUACCAAGGCGACGAUCAGUAGCUGGUCUGAGAGGACGAUCAGCCACACCGGAACUGAGACACGGUCCGGACUCCUACGGGAGGCAGCAGUGGGGAAUAUUGGACAAUGGGGGAAACCCUGAUCCAGCAAUGCCGCGUGUGUGAAGAAGGCCUGCGGGUUGUAAAGCACUUUCAGUUGGGAAGAAACAGCAGCCGGCUAAUAUCCGGUUGUCUUGACGUAACCAACAGAAGAAGCACCGGCUAACUCCGUGCCAGCAGCCGUAC
rnacentral:rRNA from 1 species